GAUGAACGCUGGCGGCGUGCCUAAUACAUGCGAGUCGAGCGAACGGACGAGAAGCUUGCUUUUCUGAUGUUAGCGGCGGACGGGUGAGUAACACGUGGAUAACCUACCUAUAAGACUGGGAUAACUUCGGGAAACCGGAGCUAAUACCGGAUAAUAUUUUGAACCGCAUGGUUCAAAAGUGAAAGACGGUCUUGCUGUCACUUAUAGAUGGAUCCGCGCUGCAUUAGCUAGUUGGUAAGGUAACGGCUUACCAAGGCAACGAUGCAUAGCCGACCUGAGAGGGUGAUCGGCCACACUGGAACUGAGACACGGUCCAGACUCCUACGGGAGGCAGCAGUAGGGAAUCUUCCGCAAUGGGCGAAAGCCUGACGGAGCAACGCCGCGUGAGUGAUGAAGGUCUUCGGAUCGUAAAACUCUGUUAUUAGGGAAGAACAUAUGUGUAAGUAACUGUGCACAUCCUGACGGUACCUAAUCAGAAAGCCACGGCUAACUACGUG
rnacentral:rRNA from 1 species